GCAGAACGCGAAGAACCUUACCAAACCCUUGACAUGUCCAGUAUGGGCACCAGAGAUGGAGCCUUUCAGUUCGGCUGGCUGGAACACAGGUGCUGCAUGGCUGUCGUCAGCUCGUGUCGUGAGAUGUUGGGUUAAGUCCCGCAACGAGCGCAACCCUCGCCCUUAGUUGCCAUCAUUUAGUUGGGCACUCUAGGGGGGACUGCCGGUGAUAAGCCGCGAGGAAGGUGGGGAUGACGUCAAGUCCUCAUGGCCCUUACGGGUUGGGCUACACACGUGCUACAAUGGCGGUGACAAUGGGAUGCAAAGGCGCAAAGCCCGUGCAAAUCUCAAAAAGCCGUCUCAGUUCGGACUGGGGUCUGCAACUGACCCCACGAAGUCGGAAUCGCUAGUAAUCGUGGAUCAGCAUG
rnacentral:rRNA from 1 species